AUUGAACGCUGGCGGCAUGCCUUACACAUGCAAGUCGAACGGUAACGGGUCCUUCGGGAUGCCGACGAGUGGCGAGCGGGUGAGUAAUAUAUCGGAACGUGCCCAGUAGUGGGGGAUAACUGCUCGAAAGAGCAGCUAAUACCGCAUACGACCUGAGGGUGAAAGGGGGGGAUCGCAAGACCUCUCGCUAUUGGAGCGGCCGAUAUCAGAUUAGCUAGUUGGUGGGGUAAAGGCCUACCAAGGCAACGAUCUGUAGUUGGUCUGAGAGGACGACCAGCCACACUGGGACUGUGACACGGCCCAGACUCCUACGGGAGGCAGCAGUGGGGAAUUUUGGACAAUGGGCGCAAGCCUGAUCCAGCAAUGCCGCGUGCAGGAAGAAGGCCUUCGGGUUGUAAACUGCUUUUGUCAGGGAAGAAAUCUUCUGGGCUAAUACCCCGGGAGGAUGACGGUACCUGAAGAAUAAGCACCGGCUAACUACGUGCCAGCAGCCGCGGUAAUACGUAGGGUGCGAGCGUUAAUCGGAAUUACUGGGCGUAAAGCGUGCGCAGGCGGCUUUGCAAGACAGAUGUGAAAUCCCCCGGGCUCAACCUGGGAACUGCAUUUGUGACUGCAAGGCUAGAGUACGGCAGAGGGGGAUGGAAUUCCGCGUGUAGCAGUGAAAUGCGUAGAUAUGCGGAGGAACACCAAUGGCGAAGGCAAUCCCCUGGGCCUGUACUGACGCUCAUGCACGAAAGCGUGGGGAGCAAGCAGGAUUAGAUACCCUGGUAGUCCACGCCCUAAACGAUGUCAACUGGUUGUUGGACGGCUUGCUGUUCAGUAACGAAGCUAACGCGUGAAGUUGACCGCCUGGGGAGUACGGCCGCAAGGUUGAAACUCAAAGGAAUUGACGGGGACCCGCACAAGCGGUGGAUGAUGUGGUUUAAUUCGAUGCAACGCGAAAAACCUUACCUACCCUUGACAUGUCAAGAAUUCUGCAGAGAUGUGGAAGUGCUCGAAAGAGAACUUGAACACAGGUGCUGCAUGGCCGUCGUCAGCUCGUGUCGUGAGAUGUUGGGUUAAGUCCCGCAACGAGCGCAACCCUUGUCAUUAGUUGCUACGCAAGAGCACUCUAAUGAGACUGCCGGUGACAAACCGGAGGAAGGUGGGGAUGACGUCAGGUCCUCAUGGCCCUUAUGGGUAGGGCUACACACGUCAUACAAUGGCCGGUACAGAGGGCUGCCAACCCGCGAGGGGGAGCCAAUCCCAGAAAACCGGUCGUAGUCCGGAUCGUAGUCUGCAACUCGACUGCGUGAAGUCGGAAUCGCUAGUAAUCGCGGAUCAGCUUGCCGCGGUGAAUACGUUCCCGGGUCU
rnacentral:rRNA from 1 species